AUGGCGCCGUCCGACGGCUUCAGCGUCCGGAUCGUCUCCGUCGACUUCUACAUGACGCCGCCCAUCCCCGGCCUCGAUAUCUCCUACAGUAGCUUCCACGGUGGGAAGGUGAAAGAGGUGCCUGUAAUAAGAAUCUACGGCUCGACUCCGGCCGGUCAGAAAACUUGUUUGCAUAUUCACAGACUCAAAAGCAGUGCUGGUUCAAAGCGACAACAUGUACAUGGUUGCAGCCUUGUCCAGGCAAGGAAGCUCUAUGGUUACCAUUCAUCAGAGGAGGUUUUUGUGAAGAUAUACCUCUAUUAUCCACAUGAUGUGACUCGCGCAGCCAAUCUUCUUCUGGGAGGUGCAGUUCUGGGUAAAUGCUUACAGCCCCAUCAAUCGCACAUUCCCUUCAUUCUCCAAUUUAUGGUAUGAGAUUUGCGCAUUAAAGGAGGUUUGGAUGAUAUUCUUCCAUUCUUUAUGAGAGACUGCCAAGAUGAGACAGAGAUCCAGCACAACCGUGUUGGAAUUAGUGAGUCUCAUUCUCAUCAAGAAAGUGCCAGAGGUGUCCCUACUCACUAUCAAGCUGAUGGCUUUUGUUUGUAUCUGUUAACACCUGCAAUUUCACCUCCUACUGCCAAAAAUGUACACUGCUGGAUCCAUCAUGCAGGAUCUUCUGCGAUUCUGACUGGUUUACAGAAGUCUUUGCCUAAUGAUUUGGACAAGCCUUCACUCAAAUAUGGUUCUGUAUGUGAUGUUCAACCUAAUCUAUGCCAAGGACCACAAGUAGAUCAUAGAAAUCUUGAAGCAGAAAGGUAUCCUUUUUGUAAUGACAUGACAGAAGCAUUGGAACGAGAAGCAGAUGUUAUAAGAGUUAAGACAUACCCUGAUCGCUUGCAAGAUAGUUCUCAGAUCUCUGGUCCAGAUAGGAGAUCGAAAUCCACUCCACUUAGUCAAACUGGGUUUCGAGACCCAGCAAGUGUUGGUAUUGGCCAGCAGCUGAUGUUGUUAAGUAUAGAGGUUCAAGCAGAAUCUAGGGGUGAUCUUCGACCCAAUCCUCAGUUUGAUGCUAUCAAUAUUGUAUCGCUUGCUAUUCAGAAUGAUUGUGAUUCCAUUGUUGAAGUUCACGUACUUAUGCGCAGCAAUGCCAAAAAUUGUAAGAGGAGUCAUGACGGAAUUUCUGACUGCAAGCUGCUGGUGUUUCAUGAAGAGAAGUACUUAUUUCAUCAUUUUAUCAAGUUUGUAUGCUCCUUGGACCCCGAUAUAUUGAUGGGUUGGGACAUUCAGGGUGGUUCUCUUGGUUUUUUGGCUGAAAGGGCUUCACAUCUUGGUAUAGGCUUACUCAACAAGAUAUCUCGAACACCAUCUGAAGCCCAGAUGGUGGCUGAGGAUUCCGAAGUUCCGGAGAAAGUCUCACAAGAUAACCUAGUUGCUGAAUCGAUUACUGAUUCGGUUGUAUUAGAAGAUCCAAUAAUUGAGGAUGAAUGGGGACGAACUCAUUCCAGCGGUGUCCAUGUUGGUGGUAGAAUUGUACUUAAUGUCUGGCGGCUGAUGCGCAGUGAAGUGAAGCUUAAUAUGAACACAGUCGAAGCUGUUUCUGAAGUUGUGUUGAGGCGGAAAGUCCCAUAUAUUCCUAAUAAAGUACUGACAAAAUGGUUUUUAAGUGGUCCUGGAAGAGCAAGAUACCGAUGUAUCAAAUAUGUGAAGGAGAGAGCAGAACUGAAUCUUGAGAUGAUGAAUCAACUAGAUAUGAUAAAUCGAACAUCAGAACUUGCCCGUGUCUUUGGCAUCGACUUUUUUUCUGUUCUCUCUAGAGGCUCCCAAUACCGUGUUGAAUCUAUGGUUCUGAGACUGGCACAUAUACAAAACUAUCUUGCCAUUUCCCCUGGGAAACAACAGGUAGCAUCGCAGCCAGCAAUGGAAUGCAUCCCUCUUGUAAUGGAACCAGAAUCUGGUUUUUAUGCAGAUCCAGUAGUUGUUUUGGAUUUUCAAUCUCUUUAUCCAUCGAUGAUAAUUGCAUACAACCUUUGCUAUUCUACAUGCCUUGGAAAAGUUGCACCUUCAGAAUCAAAUACACUUGGUGUCAGUUCAUUUUCACCAGAUCCACAUGAUCUGCAUGAUUUAAAAGAUCAAAUACUUCUUACUCCAAAUGGUGUUAUGUACGUGCCAGCAAAGGUCCGUAAAGGUGUACUACCCCGCUUAUUGGAUGAAAUAUUGUCAACCAGAAUAAUGGUUAAACAAGCAAUGAAAAAAUUGUCUCCAUCACAGAAAGUUCUUCACAGGAUAUUUAAUGCAAGACAAUUUGCACUGAAGCUGAUAGCAAACGUGACGUAUGGUUACACUGCUGCUGGGUUUAGUGGCCGCAUGCCUUGUGCAGAGAUUGCAGACAGUAUUGUCCAGUGCGGCCGUAGCACACUUGAGAAGGCUAUUUCAUAUGUAAAUGCACAUGACAAGUGGAAGGCUAAAGUUAUUUAUGGCGACACAGACAGCAUGUUUGUCCUUCUAAAAGGCCGCACUAGGGAAGAAUCUUUUCAGAUUGGACAGGAGAUUGCCUCUGAAAUCAGUUCUAUGAGCCCAACUCCAGUUGCUUUGAAGAUGGAAAAAGUUUAUCAGCCAUGUUUCCUUCUUACCAAGAAGCGAUAUGUUGGUUACAGCUAUGAAAGCCCUGGACAGAGUGAACCUAUUUUUGAUGCUAAAGGCAUUGAGACAGUUCGCAGGGAUACAUGUGCGGCUGUUGCCAAGACAAUGGAGCAGUCUCUGAGACUUUUUUUUGAACAUCAAGAUAUGGCUGAGGUCAAAGCAUACUUACAGCGCCAGUGGAAACGAAUUCUUUCUGGAAGGGUGUGUCUUCAGGAUUUUGUAUUUGCAAAAGAGGUUCGUCUAGGAACUUACCGUGCUAGUGGUUCAUCACUUCCACCAGCUGCAAUUGUUGCUACAAAAGCUAUGAGAAUUGACCCGAGGGCAGAACCACGUUAUGCAGAGAGAGUACCUUACGUUGUAAUACAUGGGGAGCCUGGGGCCCGUCUGGCUGAUGUGGUUGUGGAUCCCUUGAGCCUACUGGCCACUGAUUCAGCCUAUAGACUAAAUGAUCUCUAUUACAUUCACAAACAGAUAAUCCCAGCUUUGCAGCGAGUGUUUGGGCUUGUUGGAGCUGACCUGCCGCAGUGGUUUUCAGAUAUGCCCCGCCCAGUAAGGGAAGCCUUGGGGAAACGCCCCUCUUCUGCUUCAAAUGCACACCGAACCAGAAUUGACUAUUACUAUCUUUCAAGGCAUUGCAUAUUGUGUGGUGAGUUGGUCCAGGGAUCGGCCCAUCUAUGCAAUCAAUGUUCUGAGAACAAAACUGCAGCAGCAGCAGCUAUAAUUGGAAGGACUUCAAAGCUGGAGAAAGAGAUGCAACACCUUGCCGCUAUCUGUCGACAUUGUGGAGGUGGGGAUUCACUUGAAGGAAAUGGCAUCAAAUGCACUUCUCUUGCAUGCUCAGUGUUUUAUGAGAGACGCAAAGUUCAGAAAGAACUGCAGGGAACUGCUUCUGUUGCUGCAGAAACAGGUUUCUAUCCUCAAUGUUUGUCACACUCACACUCCCCAUCUUCUCUAAAAAUGGCACAAUCUCCCUACUCCCUACUCCUCAAACGCCUCUCUCGCUAUUCCCCAAACCCAAAACCCUUCUCCUUCCUUAAACCCUACUCCACCUCCUCCCCAAACCCCCUCCUCCCUCUCCGCCCGCCUCAGCUUCGUCUUCGACCAAAUCGACGUCAUCGAGAAAGAACGCUCCGAGAAAGACCAAACCCUCCAAAAGAUUCGAGCUUGGCGCGAAUCCAAAAACCCCCAAACCCCAGAACUAGGAUUUCACAAUCCCCAUGUCGAUGAAGCAGUUUCAUCUUCCGAUGUGGGACCGGAGAAGCCCAGUUCGGUGGCGGUUAAGAAGGAGGUGGAGGUGGUGCACCCGUGGCCGGAGUGGAUUGAGUUGAUGGAGAGGCUGGUGGGGCAGAACUACUUUGACCAUAGGAGGAAGGACGAGGACAGAAUGGUCCAAGUCAUGGGGGUUGAUGCUUCGGAUGUUGCUCCGGCCGGCGAUGACUGCCAGGGUUUGGAUUUUGGGGAUUUCAAGGCUGUUCAUACUGCUUGUCUUAAUUUCGGCAAGGACCGGUUUGAUAUCUUCAGGUCCUUGUCGAGACAGGAUAUUCAAAUUUUGGUGGGUUUUGGAUGCCCGAGUACGGACAAGAAGGUGGUUUUUUCUUCAAAGCUGUUAAGGAAGCACACCCACCUUGAUGAAGGAGAUGUUUGUAGUUCCUGCAGUUUAAGGAAUUCCUGUGAAAGAGCAUAUCUGAUUACUAACAAAGAGGAUGAGGCCCGGACCAUUGAUAUAAUGCGUGUUUUAUUGACUUACGGCUUUGAUCCUAUAAACGGAUCAGUACAAAACAAGUCACUUCUGAAACAGAAAUCUGUUAAAACUGUAGUCCGCAAGUUGCUUCAUCAGGUUGUCAAGCUGAGUUCAGUUCCAAUAGAUCCUAGUCUACCUCCUCCGGUGAUCAAAAAGCCACCCCCAAAAGUGAAGCAGCCUCCUCCCCCUCCAAGAAAACGAGUUGGACGUGAUGACAUUGAGAUGAAAAAAGGGGACUGGCUAUGCUCUAAGUGCGACUUCAUGAAUUUUGCCAAAAACAGCCUGUGCCUGCAGUGUGAUGCCAAGCGUCCAAAGAGACAGCUGCUUCCAGGAGAAUGGGAAUGCCCAGAGUGCAAUUUUUUAAACUACAGGAGAAAUAUGGCAUGUUUUCAUUGUGAUUGCAAGCGCCCACCUGAUGAAUAUAUUGAGAACAACAUGCAAGAAAAGCAACGUGGCCAUAGGACUAGGAUGGAUAACCCUGCGAUUCGGCCCGAUGCCUCUAAUGCCUGGAAUUUUGAUUUUGAUGACAAUGAGUCAGAUGGAGCGGAUGUUGCUGCUUUUGAGUAUGCAGAUCCAGUAAUGAGAGAAGGGUCUCUUGACAGCCAGGGUCGAGGGGAAAAUUUUCGACAUCCUGAAUACGAUUUGAGUAAAAAUAGGAGAGUGUCAAGGGUUGACCAUGGAGAAUAUUCUGAUGCUGACAAUAUUAAGCCAGGCAGAGGGUUUGAUGAUUUUGAUGAUGAAGAUGAGGAUAUUGACAAUUACGAGUUGGACACUCGUACCAAAGAUUCAGCACAGAAAACUUCAAUUGAUUUUUCUGAAUUGGAGGGGUCUGAAUCAGAAGACAGUGAAGGUCAAGACAAUAAUUUGCAUGCUCACCGAGCAAACUCUUCAUCUUACAAUAAGCCAUCUAAGCCUAUGCCUCGACGAGCAGCAUACUCUGUCUCAGAUGAUGAUGAACUUGAUAUAAAUUCUGACGAACACAUUCCUGUUCUUCCCAACCGGAGAUCAAGUCAUGUUGCUGAUUCUCGAUCAAGAGGUAGGGGUAGAGACUCAAAUGGUCCAUCAAAGAGAGUAAGCUUUGUUUCUGAUGAUGAUGUUGGGCUCUACUCUGAUGUGGAUGAUGAUCUAGAUCAAAAUAUUAGAUCCAGACAAGGUAAACCAAACAAACUGGGUUCUGGGAGAAAAGACUUUCAGAGGAGAAGAAAUUUUGAUAGUGAAGAUGAUUCAAUGUCUGGUUCAGAAUCAGAGAAUGAUGAUUUUCAUUCUCAUAAAAAUAGGCCCAGAGGAAAUAAACCAAACAGUUUCAAAGGUGCACAAUUUCAAUCCAACGGAAUGAAGAGUGGCAGGAAGAGUUCUUUCAGUGAUGAUGACUUUGGUGGAUCAACCCGAGGGUCUCGUGAUAACAGAGGAUUUCGAGGGAAUGGUUUUGAUGGGCAGAGAAUGAGUAACAGAGGUGUUGAUAGGCAGAAUUUCAAGGGGCCUAAAAGAGAAGGAUUUGGAAAUGGUGGUAGGAGAAACUCUUUUGGUGACAAUUUUGAUAGAUCUAAACAAGUAUCUCGUGGUAAUAACAAAGGAUUUCGGGAAAAAAACUUUGAUGGGCACAGAACGAGUAACCGUGGCUUUGAUAAACACAAUUUUAAGGGACCUAAAAGAGAAGGAUUUGGAAAGCCGCAGCGUGAAAGAUUCAAUAAUGAUAGAGACAAGGACGGGGACUUUGGUAACUUUAGCAAUAGCCGACGUGUUAUUGAAAGAUAG